rnacentral:rRNA from 1 species
AGAACGAACGCUGGCGGCAGGCUUAACACAUGCAAGUCGAGCGGGUAGCAAUACCAGCGGCAGACGGGUGAGUAACACGUGGGAACCUUCCUAGAGGUACGGAACAACGCAGGGAAACUUGCGCUAAUACCGUAUGUGCUCUUGCGAGGAAAGAUUUAUCGCCUUUAGACGGGCCCGCGUCGGAUUAGCUAGUUGGUGGGGUAAUGGCCUACCAAGGCAACGAUCCGUAGCUGAUCUGAGAGGAUGAUCAGCCACACUGGGACUGAGACACGGCCCAGACUCCUACGGGAGGCAGCAGUGGGGAAUAUUGCGCAAUGGGCGAAAGCCUGACGCAGCGACGCCGCGUGUGGGAUGACGGCCUUCGGGUUGUAACCACUGUCGCGAGGGACGAAAAAUGACGGUACCUCGAAAGGAAGCACCGGCUAACUCUGCGCCAGCAGCCGC